GACUUGUAACCUAACCUCAAAACUAUGUAAAUUCUUUACAUUCUACCUCAAACCCUUGUUUCCUUCAUUUAUUUAAAAUCAAAAUAAAUUGUCCAAGUUUGUUGACAUCCAAUUUUCCUAGUAGCAUUUUAAAUAUUCUAACAAUAACUGCGACGAUUACGCUCAGUAAAACAAAGGAUAGGCUACUGUAGCAAAAUAGUCAAGUUUUGAAAUGAUGAAGAAAAGAACUCAGCUAAAACUGACAAAGUCGAGGUGCCUGCUUUGAAGAAGCCAGCUAAAUCCAGUCCCGCCAAGACCGAUUUUGCUGCCUUGUCGGAUUACAAGAUUUGCGAGCAAUAGACUGAAGAUGGCGAGUAGAACAUCAUGGAAUGUAGCCGGACUUAGAUCUUAUGCUGGCGGCGACUCCGCACCAUCGAGGCUAAAGCAUUCGGGAGCCUGCAAAGGGCGGAUUGUGGCAAUCGCGAGAUGAUCCGAGACAGGAGUGGCCCCAAUAACAACUCCGACACAAUCAGAUCAGGGCUACGGAGAUUGGUUCAGCAAGAGGUGACACUGAUCAAUUUCUUAGCGCUGCUGGCACAUUGUGUAGACAAUGGGCCUCCAACAAAACGACAUCAAUAAUCAACCAAAUGCGGCCAUUCUUGGACCGAAUGCAGCAGAAAUUGAUUGGAUGUUGCCGGUGGGCGCGGAGGAAAUGGUUGUGGCAGAAGAGGUUGUUGCCGCUCGAAGGCCAGCUCAGCACCAGCCACUUGCUGCUCGGCAGCGGCCAGUUGCUGAACAGCAGCCCAUGUGAUAAAUAAAUAAAUAAAUAAAUAGAAUGUUACAAACAUGCAUGCAUAUUGCAGCAUACAAACUGGGAUUAAUCUUGCAAGUUGCAAGUUUUAAAAAAAAUAGAGAAAAUGAAAUAAUUGUACACUAUUUUGAGAGAAUCAAAUGAUAUAUUGAAUACUAAUAAUUGAUUGUACAGCACAAACAACUACUUAAUUGAAAAGCUACUACUACUUAAUUGAACAGCAGGCCACUCGAAGGCCAGCUGCCAGACGCCGAAGGCCAGCUCAGCAGCAGCCAGUUGCUGCUCAGCAGCGGCCUGUUGCUGCUUAGCAACAGCCACUUGCUGCUCGGCAGCGGCCAGUUGCUGAACAGCAGCCCCCUCCACGUCUAAAUGUGUGUCAUAUGCCUCGUUGAGGAAUCAACGCACAUUUCUCUUCCCUGAGCUCAUGUAUGUAUGUGCACUGCAAGCGCAUUCAAAACUGGCAGCUAGAUAUAAACCUGGCCCGCUGCCCUCUGUGUAAUCAGAUGAGUACGCAAUACAUACGGGCAUGGUUCCAAUGGCAGUGAUUUCUGUGGUCACUUUUUUAAUUUUCAUUCAUUUUCUCGCGCACAGUUGAUCUUUAUGUAAAUUGAGACAUUACUCUUUUUUGACACUUGCUUUUUAUUAUCAAUAUUAUUACAAUUGGAUUCAGGAACAUCAAAUAUAGACUGAAGCGUUUUUCAACAAAAGUCAAAUAUAGCAAACAAACAAAAAAUUACAAAUUACUUUUCUUGGAAUUCUUUUGCAAAUUUUUGCAAAAAACGUUAACCACCUUUUUUCAAAUAUUUGACAACCUGAAGCUUUUCGUAGGUUUUUUACUUUUUGUGCUUUAAAGUUUUAAAUAAUUAUCUACCUUUCCAUGUGUCCUCUAGUUUAAAUUUAAGAAUUUUUCUCAAGGAAUUGAAAUCUUGGUUGUUUUCACUAGAAGAUGUUGAGUUUCUGUUUAGAUAGUAUAGUUACUUUUAUAUUGUAUUUUUGAUAUUAUCAUAUUGCAGUGAAUGAUACAUUUAUGAAGGGACAGUUUAUCUCUUAGUACUCUUCAACAUAUUUUUUUCUCUGUAUUAUAAAAAUUUAUCAAGUUUUUAUAUAAUUUUAGCUAGGCUCUAAGCUACUCUUUCUUUAUUUUCAGUGUGAUGGUGCCUCAACACGUUUUU